GGGGGAUUAGCUCAGUUGGGAGAGCGCUUGCAUGGCAUGCAAGAGGUCAUCGGUUCGAAUCCGAUAUUCUCCA
rnacentral:tRNA from 1 species